UACAUUAGUGCAUGCAGCUGGUACGAGCUAAUCAUAAUUUGCAACCAGAAAUUGCUUGGCGGUAUGUUCAGUGCGUAUGUAUAAAAUUCGUCUUCCACUAAAAUUGAAAAUCCGUUGAACAUACAUACAUAUGUACAUAUUUCAUACCUGUUAACUGAAUUCUGAUAACGAAAAUUUGUAUAUUCUCAACAUAAUCGAUACUAACUAAAAUAGGUUUAUUCAAAUAAUGUUUUCACAUUGCUGACACAAAUUGAACACGGUACUUAUCCAAUUAAUAACUGAUAGUGUUUCAGGUAUUUAAUUUGAAUUUUGAGCUGUUCAUUAAAAUGAUAGAAAGGGUAAAGGAUGACGUUGUUUCAAUGAGAAGCGAUAAUUGAUAAAGAAGAUUGAUAUGAAAACAGGACAGCACCUAAAUUGAAUCGAAGCUUGCAUUAAAAUGCAAUGAUAAAGCGAAGAAUCGUGAACAACAUGUAAUAAAUCAAGAGGGCAUAGAGAUUAUACGAUACAUAUUUAAAACACAAUUAACCGAAGCAUCUUUAAAUAUAAUUAAAUGGUAAGGAGUCUCUGAAAAGUACCGAUUGUAAUGAAGAAAAAUAGGACAUCAAAAAUAAAGUUCGAUGAGAAGAUUUCAUUUGGCCAUCAACAAAAUGUGCUGUGAACUGAUAAUUUUGUACUUGCAGGAGUGUCGCUUAUAAUGGAAAUAAUGUAUAACUUUUAAUGAACCACCCCCCACAAAGGCAGUUCUUUUUCGUGCUGUCAAAAGCAGCUUUCACGGGUCUUUUCCAAGAUUUGGCGCAUGGUGAAUAUCUGGUCAGUUGUUGAUUUUCCAGGUCUAAGGAACGUCCAUUCCAUUAUUCCCUCCAUAUUGUCAGUAUGUUUUGGGCAUCAGUCUAUUAUGUGUACAUAUGUAUGUGUCUAUUUAUACCUACUCAAGCUUAUAUUCAUUCUCUGUCUUUUCAAUGAGCCAAAAAAAAUUUCGUCUACUUACCUUUAAUUAUUUCCUUAUUGACAGUUUUUGGUGUAUUCCAUAUAUUAAUUUACAUAUGGAAGUUCGAAAAGUACUUAGCGUAACCGUACGAUGACGCUACAAUCGCAAGAAAAUUUUACUAUCACAGUUUUAUUUUGGGUGCGGGUAGCAACAAACGGGUCCACGGAUUUAACAACAAUACAGUCUGAUUUCAAGUUGAAUACUGUCCUAUCGGCUCUAAAGGUCAAGACCAAUUUGGUUACGAAUUGCUAGCUCAUCGAACGGUUUCUCCAGAUUUGGUGUCUGGUCCAAUUACGUUUCAAAAUAUGACCAAGUCAUCCGGCGGACUGAAAUUUGAAACUAUCGUUGCCAUACAGGACUGCAGAAAACGUAUUUAUCAAUACUAAAUAUUUAUAGUUCCUAAACUAGUUGCCGGUUACAAAAACAAAUAUUUUUCUUUAAAAAUUUAUUAUUAAAUAAAACAACAUAUACGUUACAGAAAAACAAUUUUAUAUUUAUCCAUAUACUACUCAUAUUUGAAUUAUAUAUUAUUUACGUUAAAUAAAAUUUAAUUAUAACAUAUGUUAGUAUGUUUGUGUACAAAAUAUUAGCAUACCACCGAUCCAAUUGUGGUACUUAACUUCUCAUUAUUAUAUUAGGGGUAUUCAGACCGAACUUGUUAAUCUGGUAGUUCGUCAGCUGAUACUUCGUUAAAACACUUAACUGUGAACAUACUUUUUGCUGUACAUCAGUAGUGGGUGUAAAUUUUGUUUCAAAACAGCUGAUUCAAUUAUAUUAAAUACUUACUUUUGAAAAAUUUGUCAGAAACUAAUUUGUAGUAGACAGCAAA